UAGGGAAUCUUCGGCAAUGGACGAAAGUCUGACCGAGCAACGCCGCGUGAGUGAAGAAGGUUUUCGGAUCGUAAAACUCUGUUGUUAGAGAAGAACAAGGACGUUAGUAACUGAACGUCCCCUGACGGUAUCUAACCAGAAAGCCACGGCUAACUACGUGCCAGCAGCCGCGGUAAUACGUAGGUGGCAAGCGUUGUCCGGAUUUAUUGGGCGUAAAGCGAGCGCAGGCGGUUUCUUAAGUCUGAUGUGAAAGCCCCCGGCUCAACCGGGGAGGGUCAUUGGAAACUGGGAGACUUGAGUGCAGAAGAGGAGAGUGGAAUUCCAUGUGUAGCGGUGAAAUGCGUCGAUAUAUGGAGGAACACCAGUGGCGAAGGCGGCUCUCUGGUCUGUAACUGACGCUGUGGCUCGAAAGCGUGGGGAGCAAACAGG
rnacentral:rRNA from 1 species